UACGUAGGGGGCUAGCGUUGUCCGGAAUCAUUGGGCGUAAAGAGCGCGUAGGCGGCUAGAUAAGUCCGGUGUGAAAGUCACAGGCUCAACCUGUGAAUGCCGCUGGAAACUGUCCGGCUAGAGUGCGGUAGGGGAGAAUGGAAUUCCUGGUGUAGCGGUGGAAUGCGCAGAUAUCAGGAGGAACACCGAUGGCGAAGGCAGUUCUCUGGGCCGUAACUGACGCUGAGGAGCGAAAGCGUGGGGAGCGAACAGG
rnacentral:rRNA from 1 species